rnacentral:rRNA from 1 species
CGCCUCUUGAAAAAUAUAAGAGGUCCAGCCUGCCCUGUGACUCUGUUUAACGGCCGCGGUAUCCUAACCGUGCGAAGGUAGCGCAAUCACUUACCCUUUAAAUGAGGGCUAGUAUGAAUGGCAUCACGAGGGUUAUACUGUCUCCCUUUUCUAAUCAGUGAAACUAAUCUCUCCGUGAAGAAGCGGGGAUAAAGCCAUAAGACGAGAAGACCCUAUGGAGCUUUAAAUAAAGCAACACUUAUUAUUUUUUGACCCAUUUCAGAAAACUAACUUUUAAGAUAAUAUUCUGUUUGCUAAUUUUUGGUUGGGGCGACCGCGGAGUAAAAAUUAACCUCCACGCUGUAAGGGGCCUCCCCCUUAACAAAAAGCUACAACUUAAUGUAUCAACAAACUGACACUCAUUGACCCAUAAUUUGAUCAACGAACCAAGUUACCCUAGGGAUAACAGCGCAAUCUACUUCAAGAGUUCAUAUCGACAAGUGGGUUUACGACCUCGAUGUUGGAUCAGGGUAUCCUAGUGGUGCAGCCGCUACUAAAGGUUCGUUUGUUCAACGACUAAGACCCU